CCUCUUCCCCCCUCUCUCUUUUUGCUUGUCUGCUUGAUUGCGUAUGUGCGUAUGUGGCUGUAUGUGUAUGUCGGUAUGUCUGCAUAUAUGUGUAUACGUGUGUAUGUGUGUAUGUGUAUGUGUGUGUGUGUGAGAGUAUUGUGUCAGUCAUACCAACCUGAAGAGUUCCUACUAUAUUUGUGAUUUUGACGAAAUUUUUGGAUGUGUAACAAGUUGUCACUCCUAUGGAUAGGCGUUUGUUGAGACGGAGGAACUCAGAUUCCGUUUUCCUUUGCAUUUUUACCAAUCUUUCUAUCUUCUCAUUAAUCUUUGAUUGAUUUUUUCAAUCAAAUUCUUCAGG
rnacentral:lncRNA from 1 species